UACGUAGGGAGCAAGCGUUGUUCGGAUUUACUGGGCGUAAAGGGCGCGUAGGCGGCCAUCUAAGUCAGACGUGAAAUCCCCCGGCUUAACCUGGGAACUGCGUCUGAUACUGGACGGCUUGAGUUUGGGAGAGGGAUGCAGAAUUCCAGGUGUAGCGGUGAAAUGCGUAGAUAUCUGGAGGAAUACCGGUGGCGAAGGCGGCAUCCUGGACCAACACUGACGCUGAGGCGCGAAAGCUAGGGGAGCAAACGGGG
rnacentral:rRNA from 1 species